GGUAUAGCUCAGUGGUAGAGUGUAUGCUUAGCACGCUCGAGGUCCUGGGUUCAAUCCCCAGUUUAAUCA
rnacentral:tRNA from 1 species